rnacentral:tRNA from 1 species
AGAGAAGUAGUUUAGUUGAUAGAGCAUGGACCUGGGAGUAAGAAGGACCUAGGUUCUAAUCCUGGCUUCUCCA